rnacentral:lncRNA from 10 species
GCAUUUUAACUAGGUCGGCGGAGAGGGGGAUUCCUGUGCCCGCUUAUUGGUCCAACCUUCCCUUCAAUCUUCUCCAGGCCAGUGGGCCUGGUGCUCUGGCACUGGGAUCCCACUAAGGAAGACCUUCUUCUCCACCUGUGAACUGAAACAUUUCUCCCAAGUGGAAAAUAAGGAGGCAUCAGAGACUCUUGGCAUAAAAAGGAAGGAGCCCAUCCACCAGAAAAUUGCUUGGAUAACUUUUUCGAAUGUUAAAAAUGAAACCGCCUUCUGCAGGAAGCUAAUUAAGCCUCUCUGCCAAGAAGCCAGCGGCUCCUGUUCGAACUUGCGCUUCUGCAUCUUGCCUGCAAUAGAAAGACACUGCUGUCCUGGCUGUCAAAGAGGCCCUGUACCUGCUGGAAAGCCCUGCUCACCACUCCAGAUUCCAGAUGUCAAUGCAGAUUUUUUUUUUUAACUCAAUGCUAAGCAGCAGACGCUAAGGUCAUGCAUGUGAGGGGAGCGUACCCUGCUCAGGUUUUAUUUGGGAGCUCGUACCAGGGCUUUGAGCUUUUGGAGCUUCAAUGCACAAAUGUGCCCAUGCCUGCCCUGCUUGGAGGUUGCAGGGCGCAGGGGUUGGGGAGCUGCUGCCAACAGGGCACCAUUAGGCCGGGACAACACAAGCGCCCACCAGCCUGCCCCAGCUCUGCCCAGUGCCACCAGCACAAUCUAGCCAAUGGCCACCUUCUAUUUGUUUAUUCUUUAUAUUAACUGGAUUUGGUUUUGAACUUUUUGUUGAAGUGUAAUCUGGAUAUGGAAAAGGACACACAUCAUAAGAUACAGCUCCAUGAAUUUCUGCAAAAUGAGCAUGACCCAUGUGGCCCGAACCCCAAAAGCCCCCCUGCCCCCCACCAGUGGACCCCAUUUCCAUCAAAUCCCACCCAGUCCCUUAGAUAAUCACAAUCCUAACUUCCAACACCACAAAUUAGUUUGCCAGUUUCUGU